UGCGAACGGGUGAGUAACGCGUAGGUAACCUGCCUGGUAGCGGGGGAUAACUAUUGGAAACGAUAGCUAAUACCGCAUAAGAGUAGAUGUUGCAUGACAUUUGCUUAAAAGGUGCAAUUGCAUCACUACCAGAUGGACCUGCGUUGUAUUAGCUAGUUGGUGAGGUAACGGCUCACCAAGGCAACGAUACAUAGCCGACCUGAGAGGGUGAUCGGCCACACUGGGACUGAGACACGGCCCAGACUCCUACGGGAGGCAGCAGUAGGGAAUCUUCGGCAAUGGACGGAAGUCUGACCGAGCAACGCCGCGUGAGUGAAGAAGGUUUUCGGAUCGUAAAGCUCUGUUGUAAGAGAAGAACGAGUGUGAGAGUGGAAAGUUCACACUGUGACGGUAUCUUACCAGAAAGGGACGGCUAACUACGUGCCAGCAGCCGCGGUAAUACGUAGGUCCCGAGCGUUGUCCGGAUUUAUUGGGCGUAAAGCGAGCGCAGGCGGUUAGAUAAGUCUGAAGUUAAAGGCUGUGGCUUAACCAUAGUACGCUUUGGAAACUGUUUAACUUGAGUGCAAGAGGGGAGAGUGGAAUUCCAUGUGUAGCGGUGAAAUGCGUAGAUAUAUGGAGGAACACCCGGUGGCGAAAGCGGCUCUUUGGCUUGUAACUGACGCUGAGGCUCGAAAGCGUGGGGAGCAAACAAGAUUAGAUACCCUGGUAGUUCACGCCGUAAACGAUGAGUGCUAGGUGUUAGACCCUUUUCGGGGUUUAGUGCCGCAGCUAACGCAUUAAGCACUCCGCCUGGGGAGUACGACCGCAAGGUUGAAACUCAAAGGAAUUGACGGGGGGCCGCACCAACGGUGGAGCAUGUGGUUUAAUUUGAAGCAACGCGAAGAACCUUACCCGGUCUUGACAUUCCUUUGACCGCUUUAGAGAUAGAGCUUUCCUUUGGGACAGAGGUGACAGGUGGUGCAUGGUUGUUGUCAGCUCGUGUUGUGAGAUGUUGGGUUAAGUUCCGCAACGAGCGCAACCCCUAUUGUUAGUUGCCCUCCUUCAAUUGGGCCCUUUAGCGAGACUGCCGGUAAUAAACCGGAGGAAGGGGGGGAUGGCGUCAAAUCAUCCUGCCCCUUUUGACCUGGGGUACCCACGUGGUUCAAUGGGUGGUACAACGAGUUGCAAGCCGGGGACGGCCAACUAAUUUUUUAAAACCCGUUUCAGUUUGGAUUGUAGGGUGCAACUUGCCUACCAGAAGUUGGAAUC
rnacentral:rRNA from 1 species